ensembl:lncRNA LINC03004 long intergenic non-protein coding RNA 3004
AAUAGGCGGCUUUGGGUGUGGGCUGUGUGUCAGGGAAAUAGGAGCUGUAAUUGUCUCCUCUUAUCGUUCUAUCAGACUCUCUCAGCUUCUAGCAGAAGCAGUGAUAAAUUCUAACAGAUAAUGCAACUCAGUCUACUUGGAUGUUCACACCUGAGACUGGAGAAGACCUGCUGCCUUCUGCAGAGCCAAACAUUCCUCACAUGCUCCUCCACAAUGCUAGUUAAUGCAGCAAGAAUAGUCUUAUAUAGACUAUAAACUCCUGGUACACUGUGUCUACAUUGCUCACUGCAGUAUCCCAACAUCUAAGACCAUGGUCUUAGAUGUCUGGUACAGGACUGGUGCUCAGUAUGCAUUGAAUGAAUAAAUGAAUGAAUAUAGCAAAGCA